AAUACAUUUUUUCUCUGUGUAAAAUGUUCAAUUCUAGCUACGUAAUAUUUGAAUUUUUUACUGAUAUAUGUAAGUAGCUAAUGUUUAAAAUGUACGUAUCUACCAACUGCAGUUAGAAACAGACAACAGACUCAAUAGAUGUUUUCAAAACUGAAGUGGAGUUUAAAGUGUUAAAUGGAAUACUUUCGGGAAAAAUCAAGUGUUGCUUUUAGGAAAUCGCGAGUGUUACUCGAAAGAUCGCAAGAAUUGCUCGGUAAAAGACCGAUAAAUCGGAAAGAGUAUAGAUAUAUCGAUCCUGUCGGACGAACCCACGGAAAGCACGUGCGACUGUUGAGCGUGUUCUUGUUCCUGGCCUGUGUUACUGCUGGUGCAAUUUAUUCCGCGAUAUACUACACGUACACCUGGAAACCAUGUACAAAGAAGCUCUUCUACCGGGGGCCAGAAAAUGAAUCUUGCCUCGGAAAGGCAGACAUAUCUGGCUUAUAUUUCAGGUCAACAGAAGAGAUGAAACCGCUAUACAAGAAAUGCUAUAAUGCUGCUAGAGUUACGUACCGUGCGCGGAGAAAGUAUUGUAAAUCUUAUAGCAGAUAUAAUAUCUAGAUAUAUCUAAUACUGACAAACAAUGGAACAGAUUUUAAGAUUAUUUGUACAGCUGUUUUGCCUGCAUGUCACUCUGUUUUAUUUUGACGUAAGCAUAAUUGAUUUGAUCAGAUUAUCUAGACGUUUUGUCUAAAUUAAAGUUAUACUAAGGCAAAGUAUUUUAAGCAGUCAUACCGCACAUCUGUAAUAGGUUUUUGUACCUAAUGGCCGAACACGCCUGGCCGAACACGCCUACACUCCAGACAGACCUAUCUAUCAUAAUCUGCAAACAUUGCUAUUUACAACUUUGUUAUUGUUGAUUUUACAUUAUAACUCUUAUCUUUUAUACCAAUUUACCGCACUGUUCGCUUUAAACCAAGUUUUAUUUUUUUCAUAUGAAUAUAUGCUGUCUGUAAAUAUGCCCACAGACGACAAAUGGAAAUUCUGUGUCAAAAAGUGAACACAAAUUUACUAUAUUUAUCGGUACUUCCGUAUUUCUUAUUAAAUAUUUAUUUAAAGCUGCAGCCAAAGAUAAUACCUAAGGAUGUAAUGACUUAACGCCAACUACAUAUUUUCCCCAGAUAUUUUAGAAAGACCAAUUCCAAGCAUGCUGUGUCAAAUUUAUUUCUAUUGUUUGUUUCAUAAAAUCUGUAGCGGAUUUUCUUUCCGAAAAGUUCUUAUAUAUGUAAUAAAAGCCAUAUCUUUUAUCUAAGAUAUACAUUGGUAAUAUGACUUUUUUUUACAUUUGCAUAUAUGAGCCGUGCCAUGAGAAAACCAACAUAGUGGCUUUGCGCAGACUGGUCAGGAUCCAUGCUGUCCGCUUUCAAAGCCUACUGGAAUUGGAGAAACUGUUAGCGAACAGCAUGGAUCCUGACCAGACUGUGCGGAUGCGCAGGCUGGUCUGGAUCUAUGCUGGUGGCAAAGCCACUAUGUUGGUUUUCUCAUGGCGCGGCUCAUAUGUUGAGUAACCGUAAUUUAAAGGCAAAAGUGUUAUUUUCAUAAGAAGUGUGCAAGUUUUCAGCCGAAAUGAAAAUUUCCAAAAUAAGUGUUGUAUUAGGAUACCAUUAUUAUAUCUUCCUAAUACUUAGAUAAUCUGAAAUUUCAUUUGAAUCUAGUGACCAAUGGAGUUAAAAUUGCAAUUAGUCGAAACUUCAUAUUGUCCAAAUUGAAUGAACUUUGUAAAUGACGGAAAAUAGCCAAAUCGAAAAAAAAGAAGAUCAAAAUCGCUUGGAUGAUAGAUUGAAAACUUAACGAUUUGUUCUUUAUACCAGCUUUGUGUUUACUUGGACGGACAUAUGUCUACUUUUAAUAAUUUUGUCAACUAUUUAAAGAAAAAUAAAGGCAAAUCCGUGUAACGGAAAACGUAAAUCAUACAGUAGAAUACGUGUAACUAAAGUGAACACUAGUUCAUGAAUUUUCUAUGACAGCACCCACGUUACGUGUCAGAUGUAAUCAGUCAGUAGUUAUUGUAGUUCCAAAUUAGUUAUUUGGAAAAUUCAAUGUUUUUAUCAAUAUUUACGAAUUUCAUACAUCGUCGCUUUAUUGCAACUAAAAGUAGAAAUACGCGUGUGGGCUCGGUAUUACAGUCAAAAUCUGACACAAUCUGAUAUAGAUCUUCUAUAGUGUCUGCAGUUGGCAGUUUUUGUUUAAUACAUUUGUUUCAGUGUUAUGUUUAGUUUAAGACAAUUAUUCUUUAAACUAUCAAAUAUAAUCAAAAUAAAGGAAUGCAUUAAACUUUGAAACAGUUUUUCUUUUAAUUCGAGUUAUGUCGCUGGUCCGAAAUAAGCCUUCAGGACCCUGUAAAGUAUUAUUGCGAAGGAAACAAAUAUCUAUGCAUUAGAUAUUCGAAUUGGAUAAAUUAAUUUCUUUUUUUACUACCGCUGUCAAACUAUUUGUAAUAGAAAACAUAUUAUGAUAAUAUAAUUUUCAUUGAAAGAUAAAGAUCAUCUUAAUCCUCUUUAUGAAAAUGUUAUUAAAAUUACAUCUCUAAUCCAAACACUGGACAUACUUCAAUGACUUCCUAUGGUAGGAAAGAACAUCAAUACGUAUACAAGUUUGGAUUGAUUAAUAAAUUCUAUGUAAUAUACCAUACGUUUAAGAUGUGAUAAAAAAAGAUAUCACAAAAAUAUAUUAUAUAUUUCGUUAAUUCGCGAGUUUAUAUUUCAUCUGGAAUAGUUAACUGGUAGAAAUGGCGAGCAAGUUAUCACCGGAGGCGAGCAAGUUAUCACCGGAGGCG